AAAUAAAUUAUUUUUUAUUUGGAAUAUAAAUGCCUAUUACUUUGUUUUGAUAUUACAGGUUUUGUGCAAAUAUCUGCUGAGUGAACUACUUAUUUGAAAAGACAUCAUUGGUUAAUAUUCCCUUUUGCUCAUUGAAAUCUCAAAGACUACAGUUUCCAGAAGCAGAGAGAGAUAAGACCCAUGAUAAUCAAGCCAUAAACAGAUGCAUUUACUAGCUGAAUGGCCAACAAUGGAAUUCAACAAACCCAUCUUGAGCACGGCAGCCAGGAGUGUGGUGCAAUUCCAUUAGAUGAAAGAGAUCUACACAUUCAGAAGCACAUGAUUCUUCCCCCUUCCAUGAUUCCAGUGGCCAAUAGAGGUAUAAGGAAGAACCAAGAAACAGUAUUUAAGUUAUGUACUGCAUCCUUUGGCAUUGAUGUUACAGUAUUUCACGAAAGGCCCGAGACAAACUACAAUAAAGCCAUGCCCUGA
rnacentral:lncRNA from 1 species